AUUGAACGCUGGCGGCAUGCCUUACACAUGCAAGUCGAACGGCAGCACGGGUGCUUGCACCUGGUGGCGAGUGGCGAACGGGUGAGUAAUACAUCGGAACGUACCUUAUCGUGGGGGAUAACGCAGCGAAAGCUGUGCUAAUACCGCAUACGCCCUGAGGGGGAAAGCGGGGGAUCGAAAGACCUCGCGCGAUUAGAGCGGCCGAUGCCUGAUUAGCUUGUUGGUGGGGUAAAAGCCCACCAAGGCGACGAUCAGUAGCUGGUCUGAGAGGACGAUCAGCCACACUGGGACUGAGACACGGCCCAGACGCCUACGGGAGGCAGCAGUGGGGAAUUUUGGACGAUGGGGGCAACCCUGAUCCAGCAAUGCCGCGUGAGUGAAGAAGGCCUUCGGGUUGUAAAGCUCUUUUGUCAGGGAAGAAACACCGGCUCUAACACAGUCCGGGAAUGACGGUACCUGAAGAAUAAGCACCGGCUAACUACGUGCCAGCAGCCGCCGUAA
rnacentral:rRNA from 1 species